GGGAGGGUGGCCCUGUGGGAUGGCAGGCAAGGGCUGAGGAAGAAGGGACUGAGAGGAGGGAGUGGAAGGCACAGGAAGCAGGAAAGGGAAAGCUCCUGGCUACAAGGCCAUCCUGAAUCCUCACAGAACUUUCUAGUGGUCUGAUAGAAAACCCGCCCAAGUUUCCCCUGCUCCUUUCUGUGGGCAUCUCCCUGUGUGGCCUUCUGUCUAACAGCAGGUUCCACAGGACUCCAGUGUGCCUCCUGACCUCCCCUGCAUUGCGACCACUAGUUCUUGAUAUGUUGAAGGUUCUGCUGAGGACACAGGCUUCUCCUCGUAGCCCUUGAAGGCCCAGGGCACUGUCUCAAACCCAGGUCACGUGGGGCUGGGCCAACCCUCUGGAUCCCUGACAAGGGUCAGCUCCAGCCCUCUCCUCACCCCUUCAAAGGUAGACAGCGGGCCUCCAGGAGAGUCACACACCUCAAGGACGUUGCUCCACCUCUUUCAAUCCUCGGCCUCGUCUUUGAAAGGUUUGAUUUUAAGAUGCUGUUGGCAGAACUCACUCAGAGGGCAUGGGGGAUGGGGGUAGGGGUGGAGGAGAGCCUCUUCCUUAUUGAAUAUGUACCUCCAUUUCCUCUCCCACAAAAGGAACAUCAGACAUGGUGUGUCUUCUCUGAGCUUGUGGUGGUGAGAGAAAAACACCCCAGAUGCAUUACUUUUCUCUUUGUCCUGGCAGAGUACCUAAUAACAGCUUAAGGUUUCUUUUGGCUCCUAGUAGGGAUGGUUCCUUACUCUGUCAUGACAAGGAGAAAGGUAAAGGCUAGCAGACGGUUGCUUCCUCCCUUCUCUUAUUCUGUCCAUAGCUUGGUACCACCCACAUUCGGGUGGGUCUUCCUCAGUUAAACCUCCCUAGAAAUGCCCAGUGGUGUGUCCUCUAAGUGAUCCCAAACCCAGUCAUGUUGAGAGAACUAACUAUAGACACUAGAGAAAGCUUCAGCCCAAUGCCUGGCCCAGGAAGCUAUCACAAAGUUGACUUGUUAAGCCUUAUCCCUCAGCAGGUCCAUCAGUGUUCAUUAGGAUUUCCUAUGCAGAUAUCUCUGGGAAGCAUUCCUCUGUGUGACUGCUGAACUCAAAGAGGGGACAUUUAUAAACUGGUGUGGUGCACAUACCAGUAAUUCCAGCACUCAGAAGGCAGGAAGAAGAAGAUCAGGUCAAGGUCAUCCCUGACAACAUAGUGAGUCAACAAGUUCAAAACCAGCCUGGGAUCCAAGGGACUGUCUGAAAAACAAGACAUCAAACCCGCGAAACAGAGGCACAGGAGGGAGUGGGACAUUUAGACAGGGAGAAGACAGUGUGAAGUCACAGUGUGCCACAGGAGACUGGCCUGGGACAGCACCUUCCCUGUAGCUUCUUGGGACUCAAGCCUUUUGUCAGCCUCUAGCAUAAGGGACAAUUGAUGACAACCAUGUUUUUUAGCCACCUAGGUUCACAGCAGUCCUGAUUCCUAAAUACAGUCAAAGGUGGAGACUCUUCAACCUCAGACAGGUCAAAUGAGACUGGCCUGAGGCCUCUUGGGCCCCGGAAGGCAGGUGGCUAUUCUUACUGCCUCAUAGGCUCUCAGAGUUUUGUCCACCAGGGACUCUGUCCGAGGGUGGCUGGGGUCAAGCAGAUCAAAUGUGAAUUCAAUUAUGGCUUUAAGAGCAUGUGAGGUCAUGGGCGAAGCGACGGCAGAGACAGCACCAGGAGCUCCAUGUGAAGCCUGUGUGGGGAAAGGAGUCCGGCUGUCUUCACAGCCGAAGAACAGGGCAGGGCCUAGUCUUAUGUCCAAGAGGAGGAAAGUAGAGAUGGGGCUAGAUAUGACAUCUCAUGCUUGUAACAACAGCACUAGGAAGGCUGAGGCAGGAGCAUUGCACUAGUUCAAGGAUAGCAGAGGCCACAGAGUGAAUUGGGGCAAAACCUGGGUUAUGUAGUGAGUUGGAAGGCAGUCUGAGCUACUUAAAGAGUGCUAGGAACAGCAUAGGCCGCCUAAUGAUAGGCUAGCUAAGAAUACAGCAUGAUUUCCAAGUCAGCGUGGGCUAUGUAGUAUGAGACCCAGUAGGGUAUGUACGUGGUCCUCUCAUACCAGACCACAUGUGGCAAACACAGCUCCUUACAGCACAUGGGAACUGAGGCGACCAUGAAUCUGUUCACUAUUAAACCUGGUCUCAUUUUCCCCUCCAUUUAGCUGAGAAAGCUCAUGUUACGCCGAAAGGUUAAUUACCCCCCAACUUCCAAAGGUCCUCUGUGGCAAGCUUCAGAUUCAUUUUCUGCAGGAGGAUUCCCGUGAAUUCCACAUUUAAGGGUGUAGGCUUAGUGAAAUUGCUCUCUGGUUCUGACAGAUCCCAGAUGUAGCUGCCUCCCAGAUGGGCCAGGCAACUGAGACUACCCAGGGACCACUUCAAAACCAACUCAAGCAUCUACAAGUGCGGGUUUGGUGUUCCUCAACGUGUGCGUGUGCGUGUGCGUGCGUGUGCGUGUGCGUGUGUGUGUGUGUGUGUGUGUGUGUGUGUGUGUCUGUGCGUGCAUACCUGGGAGAGGACAGCCUCUGCCCUUUUUUCUCAAGAGCUGUACCCACCCACCCCCUUUCCUUUUGACAAGGUCUCACUCUCCUGCUGCACAGCAGUUCUCCAAGUAGGCUGUGUGGGCCAGCCAGCAACACAGCAACGCUCCUCAUCCAGCAGGGAAGCUCCUGUCUCUGCCUCCCCAGCAUGGGGAUUGCAAAUGUGUGCCACCACACGUAGCAUUUUUUUCAUUAAUCUUUCUGCAUCUCAUUUCCAAUGUGUUCACUGCAAAUGUAUGGAUGUUAACAUUGGUUUGUGUGCAUCGUUCCUCUAAUGUGCACUCUCUCUGAACUUGUUCCCAUGUUUAUUUGUAUAACAGAGCUGGGGAUUUUUUUUUUUAGGAAUGCUUUGGACUUUGGAUAUAAAAGCUGAUGUCGUGCUUAAGGACAGACAAUUUUACUUCUUCCUUUCUAAUCUAGAUGUCGUUUAUUGCAGCUUCUUACCUAACUCCUGGCAAGAAUCCCAGUAGAGAUGAAGUUGUGAAAACAGACAUCCUUGUUGCACGGAUCCUGAAUCUUUCACCCUGGGGUGAUGCUGCCCAUGCAUUUUUACACAGAGACUCUUUGUCAUGUUGUAAAAGCUCCUUACCAUGACUAGCUUGUUGCCACUAUCAUCGGGAAAGUAAAUACUAGUUUUUAAAACAAAAAACAAUCCCCCCCCACCAGACUUUAAUAGUUUCAGGUAAAGAUGGAUUUCCUGUUUGUUUGUUUCAUGCCUAGUGCCCAUGGAGGCCUGAAAAGGAUCCAGAUCCUCUGGAACUGGAGUUACAGAUGAUGGUCAUGGGCUGCCACGCUCCCCUGGACUCCGAAGACACUGUUAGGAACUAGAAACACAUAUGCCAAGGGUGAAGAAAGGGGAAUGGUUCCCAUCCUCGCCCUAGGUUCAAACCUCAGCAAGUCCUGUGUGUUAAACUUCCUGAGUUCCAGAAUGCAUGCCUGAGGAUGUCACUGUGUGGCACCUAUCACCUCUCUACCCCAACACAGCCCAUGACUGCUGAGACAGGGCGGCCAGGAACAUCUGAUUGCUUAGACUCCACCACUGCAGUUUCUACCUCAAGGCAAGUUCACUCUACUAGUUCUGAAGUGGUCCUUCCCUCCCUUCACCUCUCCUUAUUCUUUAAUUUAUCAUGGAGGCAAAACUGAAAACCCAAGACACCAGCGAUGAAUGAAUUAGUAGCCUAUGAGGAGCUCGUAAAUCAGCUUUUUCCACUAAUCUAGGGGGUCCAAUCACUUUACAUGAAACUCAUUUUGAAAAAGUACACAGUGUUUCUGAACAAAGUGCAUACCAACACUUAUUGGUUCAAAGAGCAGUGCAAUCCACAUGAAUUUGGUGGCAUUUAAUUUUUUUUAAAAAGUUAAUUAAAAAACUUAGCAAUUCCUUACAACUCUGGAAAAUAAAUAUGGCUGACUAAUUAACCCUCCCUGAGACCCUUAAUAAAAGGAAUAUUAAAACUUUAGAAGGAAUGUCUUUGCAAUACCCCACUAAUAUUAAAAUGUGGAUUUAAAAUUCAUAGUCAAAUCACUAUGUAUUAUAUAUUCUGAUGCUUACAGAAAGCACCUGGUUUCCUUUGGUUCAUUAAUAAAUACUUUAAAAAGGUAUUUAAAAAGGUAAGUACAGCUUGCAUCCCAGACACAAGCGCUGUUUUAAAAAGAGGGGAGCAUUGUCCAUGCAUCGAGAACAGGAGCCCAUUGACAAAUAGCACUGCCUUUGCGGACAGACUCCAGCACAUCAAAUGACUGGUUUUAAUGUAAAUGUGAAUGGAACCGUUCCUGUUGGCUACUCAAUUCAAACUGUUAAUAUGCUCUUAACUUGUUGCCUCCACAGAAAGAAAUCCUUUUAUUAAGCAAACGCGGUUCUUUUAACACCAAGACUUGGUGUUUCCUUACAAGCUCUCCUGAGUCCUUGAGUGUGAUAAAGGAAGGUUUAACACCACAUGCUUAAUGUGACUUAAGCACUACAAACUCAGUGGAUAUGAAGAUAAAGCCAGAUAGGAGAGGGACCCUGAAUCUAAGAGCAAAGCAGAGUCACCCAGACUUCAGUGGUCUUUGAUUAUCCCCCACCCCUAAAAUGGUAAAAAUGGAAAACUUGGUUCAGUCACCAAAGAACACCUACUAUUCAUUCAUUCUCUUGGGAAGUGAGCUUUCCUGGGGACUCGUUCAUGCACCCCUGCGAUCCUUUCCCACACAAGGAACUAAGAAAUGACUCCAGAGACUGGAAGAUCUCUGUGUCAGGUCUGGAUGUGUGGUUGACAACCCUUGUUUAGUAAAAUGAACCAUAGUAGGUUUUAAGAAGAAAGACUAACAACUGCAUUGGUAGGGUGAGGAUUGGAAGACGGGGUAGGGGAGGAGCAAACAGGCCAUGAUCACAAAAUCCACCACUGCAAUAUUACAGGGGAGGCAGACAUGGGACUGCUUCCCUGGGUG